CAAAAUAUAUUCUAAUGGGAGCCUACUUGGAAACUGAAAUAGAUUUGAAACAUUCAUUUGCAUAAUGCAUCUGCCCUUCUGCUCUUAGAGCAUUUAUAUCCCUGUGAGUUUAACACUUCAUGACUGAGAGCUGUCCUUCAUGACAACAGAACCCACAACAACCAUGACUUUUAUCACCAUGUUCAUCUGGACACUUGCUUUCUACAUCAAGGAAUCCAGAGGACAGAUCACUGUGACCCAGACUCCUGCAGUGAAAGCUGUUGUCCCAGGACACACAGUCUCUCUGAACUGUAAAACCAGCAGUAAUGUGUAUAGUAAUUGUUACAAUGGUCAGUCAUGGGGCCAUCAGUGUCUAUCCUGGUACCAACAGAAACCAGGAGAAAAACCCAAACUAAUGAUGCUCCCAGGGAACAAACUCCAUUCUGGGACUCCAUCUAGAUUCAGUGGUAGUGGAUCUGGGAGUGACUUCACUCUGACCAUCAGUGGAGUCCAGGCUGAAGAUGCAGGAGAUUACUACUGUCAGAGUUUACACUAUCCCAAUAAUAAAUAUGUGUUCACACAGUGAUACAGAGCCGUACAAAAACCUCCCUCAGUCAGACUGCACAGUGACUGUACUGCUACAGCUGGGACCUACUGCAGGUGCUGAGGGGGAAGAGACAGUGACAUGGAACACUGAUCAGUAGAUGAGGUCAAAUUUGAAUAUGUUAGAAAGCAUCAUUCAGAUCACAUGUUCCCCAUCAUCAUCCUCAUCAUCAUCAUCAUCAUCGUUAUCAAGGUUGUGACUAGUUAUGUUUGUCAUGACCUGAAAGUUCACUUAUAAAAGUUAGAUGUUUUGAAACCCAUGUUUUAUUUAAUUUUGCCUUUAUUCAGGUUAGUCUCUGAGAGACCUGGUCAAAAUAGCAGCACAAAGGUUUACACACAAUUACAACAUAAAACACAAAGCACUACAGAUUAAAAACAUCAAUUUACAAAUUGAGAAAAUAAUUAUUUGGGGAGAUGUGGUGCAUUUAGGGGUUAAAACAUUGACAGCCCCCCACUUCAUUGUCCACCAUAGUUUUUACCCUCGCUACAGUAGUCAGUCAAAGAGACAAGCUCCUGCAAUUUCAUGUCCCUUUGAAGCUCCUUCCAAGUGAAAGAGCCAGAGAACUGGAACACUUUUUUACCCAGCUCUGUACAGUCAACAAGACAUAGUCAUGUGUAGACGAUAGUUGUCAUUUGUCUGCUGGUCAAUGUAGGUACAUCGAUCAAAUGUGAGCCAUUACCAGUCCACAUGAGAAGCCAAACAAAAGGUGUUAUGACCUCAACAUGAAUUCAAAGUUAUAACCACUUCAGCCCCCCAGAACAAGUUCCCAUAUCAAAUGUCUGAUGUAAGUGGAUGUGUUAAUCUACGGAAGUAUAAACUUUUUGUCCUGAGUA